GUCAGCAGCCAUAUCCCCGACAGCUCAGACUGGGUAAUCCUUCUGAAGCUAAGCUGGCCAGUACUUGGAUGGGAGACCAGCUAGGAAAACUGGGUUGCUGCUGGGA
rnacentral:rRNA from 1 species